rnacentral:lncRNA from 1 species
CACACAUCCGCGUACGCUGCAGCGGGGUCCCCAGUCUCAGGGAACCCAACGAUCCAGCCCGUGCCCCGGCAGCAAUUCAUGGGACCUCCCCCAACCCUGGUUCCUCUGGCCUCUUGGCUGUACUGCUGCCUGGCUCCACACUACAAAGUCACAGAGAACACCGGACCACCAGACCACUGUACUGGAUGGUCUGUCAUCUGUUCCGUGCCUUGGGCAGCAACCGGAACACAGCCGAGGAGCUUCGCGUUCCUUGGCUGAACCAUGGCGAAGAGCACAGGAUGAAGGCGGGGCUCCAAGCUGGUCCCGGGACCUCACCAUGCCGUGGGCAGGAACUGGAACUGCUCUGUGUUCUUUUUUACUUCCAUUGCUCAUAAUUGUUUCACCUUCAGAUUCAUAAAGUCAUUUUUUCCCUAGUCGAAUUUACAAAAUUCCUUCAGUUAAUUUUUAUUAUAGCUAUCCAUUUUGUAGAAUCAAAAUUUUUAUUUUGGUUCAUUUCAUAUUUUC